UCGAGGAUCUUCGGCAAUGGGCGCAAGCCUGACCGAGCGACGCCGCGUGUGGGAUGAAGGCCUUCGGGUUGUAAACCACUGUCAGUGGGGAGAAAAUUCGGGUGGGUACUCCCAUCCGUUUGAUCUAUCCGCAGAGGAAGCAAGGGCUAAGUUCGUGCCAGCAGCCGCGGUAAGACGAACCUUGCUAACGUUAUUCGGAAUCACUGGGCUUAAAGGGUGCGUAGGCUGUGCAGAAAGUUGGGUGUGAAAUCCCUCGGCUUAACCGAGGAACUGCGCCCAAAACUACUGUGCUUGAGGGAGAUAGAGGUGAGCGGAACUGAGGGUGGAGCGGUGAAAUGCGUUGAUAUCCUCAGGAACACCCGUGGCGAAAGCGGCUCACUGGGUCUCUUCUGACGCUGAGGCACGAAAGCUAGGGGAGCAAACGGGAUUAGAUACCCCCGUAGUCC
rnacentral:rRNA from 1 species